AGAAGGCAUCUCGGGCAUUAGUAGAACUGACCAUUGUGGUCAUCUUCCUUCAGGCAUAAGUCACCUGUCUGAUGACCAGCCAUUGAAUGUCCAGAUGUUCCAGACCUCUCUUCUCUUGAAUGGAGCCAGCUACGUGUCGGUGUUGAGGGUAACCAGAUGGUGCAGGGUGGCCAGGACAGCAGCGAGAAGGCUGCUGCAAUAAUCCAGGCAGCAGGUGACGGGGCUCACGGGCAUCGUGCUACUGUAUUCCAGAAAACCAUGAUCUAAUUGUUUAAUUAUAUUAUCAUUCCUCAGAAUAAUACUCAAUUCAAGAAUUAAUCUAGCUGUCUAGGCAAAUGUUAGUUAGGGCAUAAAAGAUGGAGUCUCUGCCUGCCCUGGAGGAGGCAGACAAACAAGCAAGCAAAGAAGACAGAGAGAUGGGGCACAGUUGGGCUCGCCUUGCUCUGUGCUCGAGAGUGCAGUGACUUCACUGCAGGUGGAAUUGCACGGAUGCUGUCCCAGAGCCAAGCCGCCUUGGCAUCUCUGAAGACCAGUGCUGUGUGCUUGGUGUGUGGUUGGUUCCCCAAACUGACUGUACCAGGUUCCUUUUAAGCACCAGGCAGGCCGGUGAGUUAAGAUGAUUCAACUGAAGCCUUGUGGGUAAACUGAGCCCGCAGAACCUGAGGGCCAAGAAGGAUCCAGAAACCAUCCACCAACUUUGAGCCCAGCAUCUUUCUGCAGCCCCGCAUGCUCUGAGUCUCUGACUACAUGCAGUGAGUGUUCAGUCAGUAUAAGGGCAGCACUUGAAUUUUAAAAAGAGAUGAAAGAAAACAGAUGAGAAAGACCUGGAAGACCUGAGCUGCAUAAACUUGCAGAGGAAGUAGCAAGUGCUGCAUGACUUUUGCGCUAGUGUCACGCCUUCUUGGAGAAGGACAGAGAACAAGGACAGUUGUUGAGCUCAUGCAACUGCAUCCUCCCAGCACCAGCACCUUUUCUGAAAAGUGGCAGGGGACAGCUGGCUUCCCGGCUGCUGGGCCAGUGACUUCUCAUGCCACCCACCAGGAGAGCUGCAGGAAGGAUGUUGGCAGCUGUGUUCAGGGCCACACAGGGCUGGCCGGACUGGCAACUACUUGGAACCAACCUAUCCCUAAACAGCCCACCAUGACAAUACCAGUGACCCACAGGAAAAUGAUGCACAUCUUAAAGUUUCAAAUCUGGGUCCAGCUGAGCAAAGAGCAACCUCCAGGUGGUCCUGGGGGAGGGCCUGCACGAUGGAGAAAUGCAAUACGGCAUUGGGAGACUCUCUGUGACAUGAUGCAACCAGCCAGCCAGUGUCACUGGACAGGAGCUGGGUCCCACAAAGCCAGAAGGUGCGCUGUGGCACAUGGGCCCUGCUCCUUCACAGAGGAGUGCCUGAUGCCUUCUUCCUUGCCCUCCUGCUCUGCAGCUUUCGGUGGAUCCCCUUACAGUUUUGUGGGUAAUAGAUCUGCAACAUAACCAGCGCCACUUUAGACAAGCCCAAGUACAAAAUGGCGCCACCCAUUUCCUC